UACGGACAAGGGGAAUCCGACUGU
rnacentral:ncRNA from 2 species